GCGUGCAUUAUGUUAGGUUGCGCGCGCUGGAGGCCGUCGUCUGCUGCUGUAAUUCGGCUAGAGUGGGAAGGAAAAUAUUGUUUAAAAUCGACUUUUACCCACUCGCGAAUAAUCCGUUUCGCUCGGAUUUUACGCUACUCCUUCCUUACAGAGAAAGCGGCUCGCUAAAAGGGCAGACCGGGACAGAGAGUCGAUUAGCGGCCCAUGCAGCCAUAACGAGCCCGUGAUACACCAUCAGACCGCUGGAGAAGGUAACUCCUCGCCCCCCUUUCGUCUCCUGUUUCCUAAGCUUCUCUGUCCCCUGCCCCUCAUAA